rnacentral:rRNA from 1 species
AGGACGAACGCUGGCGGCGUGCUUAACACAUGCAAGUCGAACGGUGAAGGAGAGCUUGCUCUCUGGAUCAGUGGCGAACGGGUGAGUAACACGUGAGUAACCUGCCCUUGACUCUGGGAUAAGCGUUGGAAACGACGUCUAAUACCGGAUACGAGCUUCAGUCGCAUGGCUAGGAGCUAGGAAAGAUUUCGGUCAAGGAUGGACUCGCGGCCUAUCAGCUAGUGUGAGUAAUGGCUCACCAAGGCGACGACGGGUAGCCGGUCUGGAGAGGGUGACCGGCCACACGUGGACUGGACGACACGGCCCAGACCUCCGUACGGGAGGACAGCGAGGUAGGGAAUAUUGCAGAAGU